rnacentral:rRNA from 1 species
UACGGAGGGGGCUAGCGUUGUUCGGAAUUACUGGGCGUAAAGCGCGCGCAGGCGGUCUUCCAAGUCAGUGGUGAAAGCCCGGAGCUCAACUCCGGAACUGCCAUUGAAACUGUAAGACUUGAGGAUGAGAGAGGUGAGUGGAAUUCCCAGUGUAGAGGUGAAAUUCGUAGAUAUUGGGAAGAACACCGGUGGCGAAGGCGGCUCACUGGCUCAUUUCUGACGCUCAGGCGCGACAGCGUGGGGAUCAAACAGG